UGGGGAAUAUUGCACAAUGGGCGCAAGCCUGAUGCAGCGACGCCGCGUGAGGGAUGACGGCCUUCGGGUUGUAAACCUCUUUCAGUAGGGAAGAAGCGAAAGUGACGGUACCUGCAGAAGAAGCACCGGCUAACUACGUGCCAGCAGCCGCGGUAAUACGUAGGGUGCGAGCGUUAUCCGGAAUUAUUGGGCGUAAAGAGCGCGUAGGCGGUUUGUCGCGUCUGUCGUGAAAGUCCGGGGCUUAACCCCGGAUCUGCGGUGGGUACGGGCAGACUAGAGUGCAGUAGGGGAGACUGGAAUUCCUGGUGUAGCGGUGGAAUGCGCAGAUAUCAGGAGGAACACCGAUGGCGAAGGCAGGUCUCUGGGCUGUAACUGACGCUGAGUAGCGAAAGCAUGGGGAGCGAACA
rnacentral:rRNA from 1 species